GAUGAACGCUAGCGGCAGGCCUAACACAUGCAAGUCAGGGGGUAACAUAGAAAAGCUUGCUUUUCUGAUGACGACCGGCGCACGGGUGCGUAACGCGUAUACAACCUACCUUUUAGCGGGGAAUAGCCCAGGGAAACUUGGAUUAAUGCCCCAUAGUAUAUAGACUUCUCCUGAAGUUUAUAUUAAACAUUUAUGGCUAUUAGAUGGGUAUGCGUCCUAUUAGUUAGUUGGUAAGGUAACGGCUUACCAAGGCAGCGAUAGGUAGGGGUCCUGAGAGGGAGAUCCCCACACUGGUACUGAGACACGGACCAGACUCCUACGGGAGGCAGCAGUGAGGAAUAUUGGACAAUGGGCGAGAGCCUGAUCCAGCCAUGCCGCGUGCAGGAAGACUGCCCUAUGGGUUGUAAACUGUCUUUUACAGAGGAAGAACCCACCCCCACGUGUGGGGGUUUGACGGUACUCUGCGAAUAAGGAUCGGCUAACUCCGUG
rnacentral:rRNA from 1 species